rfam:Triticum aestivum genome assembly, contig: Triticum_aestivum_CS42_TGACv1_scaffold_214543_3AS
UUUCUACUCCCUCCGUCCAAAAAUACUAGUCAUCAAAAUGCAUAAAAAGAGAUGUAUCUAAAACUAAAAUACGUUUCCUUUUAUCCAUUUUGAUGACAAGUAUUUCCGCACGGAGGGAGUACUUG